rnacentral:rRNA from 1 species
AAUCAACGCUGGCGGCGUGCCUCAGACAUGCAAGUCGAACGAUUAAACUUUCCUUCGGGAAAGAUAUAAAGUGGCGCACGGGUGAGUAACACGUAGGUAAUGUACCUUUGGGUGGGGAAUAACCAUCGGAAACGAUGGCUAAUACCGCAUAAUGCAGCGGCAUCGCAAGAUGACAGUUGUUAAAGAUUUAUCGCCUAAAGAGCAGCCUGCGGCAGAUUAGGUAGNGGUAAGGUAAUGGCUUACCAAGCCUGCGAUCUGUAACCGACCUGAGAGGGUGGUCGGUCACACUGACACUGAAUAACGGGUCAGACUCCUACGGGAGGCAGCAGUCGGGAAUUUGGGCAAUGGGCGAAAGCCUGACCCAGCAACGCCGC